rnacentral:tRNA from 1 species
UAUAAUUUAGUGUAUGGUGCACACGGGCCUUUGAAUCCUGAGGAAAAAGUUCAAUUCUUUCCAUUAUAA